CCUACGGGAGGCUGCAGUGGGGAAUAUUGCACAAUGGGGGAAACCCUGAUGCAGCGACGCCGCGUGAGUGAAGAAGUAUUUCGGUACGUAAAGCUCUAUCAGCAGGGAAGAAAAUGACGGUACCUGACUAAGAAGCCCCGGCUAACUACGUGCCAGCAGCCGCGGUAAUACGUAGGGGGCAAGCGUUAUCCGGAUUUACUGGGUGUAAAGGGAGCGUAGACGGCAGCGCAAGUCUGGAGUGAAAUCCCAUGGCUUAACCAUGGAACUGCUUUGGAAACUGUGCAGCUAGAGUGCAGGAGAGGUAAGCGGAAUUCCUAGUGUAGCGGUGAAAUGCGUAGAUAUUAGGAGGAACACCAGUGGCGAAGGCGGCUUACUGGACUGCAACUGACGUUGAGGCUCGAAAGCGUGGGGAGCAAACAGGAUUAGAUACCCUUGUGGUC
rnacentral:rRNA from 1 species